rnacentral:rRNA from 1 species
AUUGAACGCUGGCGGCAGGCCUAACACAUGCAAGUCGAACGGUAACAGGAAGCAGCUUGCUGCUUCGCUGACGAGUGGCGGACGGGUGAGUAAUGUCUGGGAAACUGCCUGAUGGAGGGGGAUAACUACUGGAAACGGUAGCUAAUACCGCAUAACGUCGCAAGACCAAAGAGGGGGACCUUAGGGCCUCUUGCCAUCGGAUGUGCCCAGAUGGGAUUGGCUAGUAGGUGGGGUAACGGCUCACCUAGGCGACGAUCCCUAGCUGGUCUGAGAGGAUGACCAGCCACACUGGAACUGAGACACGGUCCAGACUCCUACGGGAGGCAGCAGUGGGGAAUAUUACACAAUGGGCGCAAGCCUGAUGCAGCCAUGCCGCGUGUAUGAAGAAGGCCUUCGGGUUGUAAAGUACUUUCAGCGGGGAGGAAGGGAGUAAAGUUAAUACCUUUGCUCAUCGACGUUACCCGCAGAAGAAGCACCGGCUAACUCCGUG